UGUCAUUCAAUCUAGCCUACCUUGUCUCUUUCUGGUUGAACCAUUUGGUUUUAUAUGUUUAGUAUAAAAUACUCCCCAAAUCAACCCAAUUAUACGUAAAUCGGUAGUUAUAAUUCAUUGUCAUGUCCCUCCUAUAAUUUUGGAUUGCCUUAAUUUAUGAAUUUCACUUGAUCAUGGUUGUAUUCUGAUGAAACUAUUGGCACAUGGAAUCUGAUGAUGGUAUCUUUAUACCGGAGGUUGAUAUUAUUAAGUCAUUACAGAAAUGAAAGUUGACAUGUAAUAUAAUACCGGUGAAAGGCUUCUUCUUACUAGUUGCUUAAAAUAUAUUUUUUGUAUUGUUAUUCGUAUUCUACAUUAUUCUAACAAUUCAAACGUAAUGUUAAAGGUCCAAAUGGGAGUGGGAAAAGUUCUGUGUUUAUGGCUCUCCGUGUUCCUUGGCCUAUUAUCGGUGGACGCAAUGAUAAACAUUCCCGCAAUGUUAAUGACGUGGUGGGUCAAUUCAGUUGUCGUAUAUUAUACAUUCCUCAUAAACCGUAUAAGAUCAAAAUUUCUAUCAUCUCUCACAUGACCAAGCAGAAAAGAGGGCAUUAAGUUCGUAUCGAGAAGGUGGCUUUAAGGUAUCCAGUAGAAUUUGUAGUCAGUGCCUUCUAUCAGAUCCUUUAGUGGAAGAGCUAACAGUUGAAGCAUUUGCAGCUCCUAUCUACUCCAUUGAAAUUCACUUCCUCCGUUUAAAGUUGAUUAUGGUUACAGUUCAAACUACUCAGGCACACCUUUUUCUUAAUAAACCUUUCAUACUUUAUGUACCAUAGAUGGUAAUUGGAGAUGUCUGCCGUAAUAUGUCUGUGCCUAUUUAUGUUAUGCUGGGUAAGUUGAUAAGUUCAGUGAAAUUAGUAAUAUUAUAAGCCUUGAGCUUACAGUGUUAAGUAGUUGACUCCCUGAGUUCGGUGCCAUAUUCUAUUGAAAGUUUAGUAUUAGAGGUGGAACGGGCCAUGCGACCUAAAAGCUUUUUAAAAUUUUCCUUAAA